CCCUUAGAUGUUCUGGGCCGCACGCGCGCUACACUGUUCGACGCAGCGAGUCUUAACCUUGACCGAAAGGUUUGGGUAAUCUUCAGCAAAGUCGAACGUGAUGGGGAUCGAUCAUUGCAAUUAUUGAUCGUGAACGAGGAAUUCCUAGUAAGUGCAAGUCAUCAGCUUGCGCUGAUUACGUCCCUGCCCUUUGUACACACCGCCCGUCGCUACUACCGAUUGAAUGGUUUAGUGAGAUCUCUGGAUUGACGCUGGCUAGGGGGCGACCCUUGGCCAGACUGUUGAGAAACUGCUCAAACUUGAUCAUUGAGAGGAAGUAAAAGGCGUAACA
rnacentral:rRNA from 1 species